rfam:Bacilli bacterium VT-13-104 contig033, whole genome shotgun sequence.
UAUAGUGAAUAGACGAAUGGUGACUGUAGUCUUAAUAGGGAAUCUAGUGUAAAUCUAGAACUGCCCCCGCAACUGUAAGUGUUACGAAAGAGAAACCCACUGUAUUAACAGGCAUUAAAGACUGUGAUAUGGGAAGGGCUCUAGUAGGUUUGAUACACAAGUCAGGAUACCUGCCAUUUUUCUUUAGUUUCA